GGGGGUGUAGCUCAGUGGUAGAGCGCUCGCUUUGCAUGUGAGAUGUCCCGGGUUCAAACCCCGGCACCUCCA
rnacentral:tRNA from 1 species